AUAGUUACCUGGUAGUGGAGAUACUAUGAACACAAAGGUGGUUUUCCAAGGAUGAGGCUUAUCCAUUGCACUCCAGAUACGCUGACCCUUGAGAUUUCCUCAAACUUGGGAAACUUGACUGUGGUAGUGCAUUCGUGCUCUUCCCUA
rnacentral:snRNA from 1 species